rnacentral:rRNA from 1 species
AACGAACGCUGGCGGCAUGCCUAACACAUGCAAGUCGAACGAAGCCUUCGGGCUUAGUGGCGCACGGGUGCGUAACGCGUGGGAAUCUGCCCUUCGGUUCGGAAUAACAGUUAGAAAUGACUGCUAAUACCGGAUAAUGACGUAAGUCCAAAGAUUUAUCGCCGAAGGAUGAGCCCGCGUAGGAUUAGGUAGUUGGUGGGGUAAUGGCUCACCAAGCCGACGAUCCUUAGCUGGUCUGAGAGGAUGAUCAGCCACACUGGGACUGAGACACGGCCCAGACUCCUACGGGAGGCAGCAGUGGGGAAUAUUGGACAAUGGGCGAAAGCCUGAUCCAGCAAUGCCGCGUGAGUGAUGAAGGCCUUAGGGUUGUAAGGCUCUUUUACCCGGGAUGAUAAUGACAGUACCGGGAGAAUAAGCUCCGGCUAACUCCGUGCCAGCAGCCGCGGUAAAAC